rnacentral:lncRNA from 1 species
AGGCAGUUUUGCAUUUGGGAGGAGAAUGGAGAGAAGAACAAGUAUUGCGUUUGCAGAACACAAAAAUAUUCUGAACCAGUAAAGAUAGGACUUUGUUACAUAAACAUGAUAUCAAUUAGUGUUUCCUAAUAUCAGUGAAUGCUUAAACCUAAAGAUUACAGUCAAAUGAGUAGAAAUGUGCUAUAAGUUAUACAUAUAUCAUAGUAAACAUAUUUUAAUUUUGUAGUGAUCACUAUGCUGUAAAAUCUUGUUGAUCACAGAAUAAUUUAAUAGGCCUACAAAUGAAUAUAGUUCUUUCAUUUGUGUUUGUUCUAUUAUUAAUAUUACU